rnacentral:rRNA from 1 species
UACGGAGGGGGCUAGCGUUGUUCGGAAUUACUGGGCGUAAAGCGCACGUAGGCGGCUUUGUAAGUUAGAGGUGAAAGCCCAGGGCUUAACCCUGGAAUUGCCUUUAAGACUGCAUCGCUAGAAUCGUGGAGAGGUAAGUGGAAUUCCGAGUGUAGAGGUGAAAUUCGUAGAUAUUCGGAAGAACACCAGUGGCGAAGGCGACUACCGGGUCUGGCAUUGACGCUCAUGUGCGAAAGCGUGGGGAGCAAACAGG